UACGGGGGGGGCAAGCGUUGUUCGGAAUUACUGGGCGUAAAGGGUUUGUAGGUGGCUUGUUAAGUCAGACGUGAAAUCCCUCAGCUUAACUGGGGAACUGCGUCUGAGACUGGUGAGCUUGAGUGCAGGAGAGGAACGCGGAAUUCCAGGUGUAGCGGUGAAAUGCGUAGAUAUCGGAAGGAACACCGGUGGCGAAAGCGGCGCGCUGGAUCUCUUCUGACGCUGAGGCGCGAAAGCCAGGGGAGCAAACGGG
rnacentral:rRNA from 1 species